ensembl:lncRNA
CGGAUACACAGAUUGGACCGUUUUUUCUCUCACACAAUUUCGUGUUGUUUUUUUUAGAGGUUUAAACGUUACAACGGGACGCAGCAAAGACGGUGCCGUCGGGGUGAACUUGCUGGGCUUCGCGUCUCGUCGAAACCUCUGGAACUGUCAGGAAAAAAAAUUGAUUGAGAGUUAAGGUGUGGCUGAGGCUUUUUCUGUGAGGCUUCUGCGCUGAAAAAUGUCACUAAACCGACUGUUUGUUCUCGAGUCGGGGCUAAGGCUCCUACAUCUACCGUGGCUUUGCCGAUUCCGUCCAGUCAUUUUCAUUAAGGAAGAUAUUACAUAACAAAUGUAUUGUCAUCUUGAUGCGCGCACCUUUUUUCCCCCUUCUUUUUUGCUCAAGUCUCCCGCAGUAGUCUAGAUUAAUUGAACUAUUGCGCAGUUGAGAAGUAGUAAUUUCCACUUGAUUGCCGGGUCGUUUUGGUUUCAUAAGUCUGUGAAAUGUAACGGACGUGGCAACUUUACAGUAGCCAGCCCCGUUGAAUGCCACAGGCAAACUGGGCGUGGGGGGAAACGGUCCGAACAGAGUGUAAUAAUCCUCAAAUCCUCAAAAUUGCGCAUAUUUGUCACGGUGUGUCCGCACUGACAUGCGCCUCUCUGGAGCCGCUGGAUUGACCCGAAUCAAAUAUCUCCAGGUGCCCACAGUAGAUCUUCUUGCCUUCAAACCAACUUGAGAUCAUGGCAUCAGGAUGUUCUUCCAGGACUCUGCAGAGGGGCUUCGCAGAUGGAGAUGAAACCAGCCUGUGCUACUAGACCUGGGUGGCCUGUACCUGCGCCAGAUGUUUUGCCAGCUGUGGCGGGUUUCCCAGAGACUAUGGGUUGAGGAGGAAUUGGAAGUUUGUCGGCUUAGACCUGGUGUCAUUCCAUCAGUGUUAAACUUCCCGGCUCAUCUUGGAAGAGUACGUGCCAGAAAGACCACGACCAAGCAGCCUUGAGAUCUUAGGCAGCGUCUCCCUGAGGUCCCUCUCUAUCUCCACACAUCCACCAACCACUGGAACACAUCUCCAAAGUUCUGCUGGACCAGCUCAGCUUCCCCUCAGAAGAAGUGCUGCCACCUGCCAGAUGAAGGAGCCUUUUGAGAGGCAGCUGGCAUCGUGAUUGGACUGUACUUUGGUCUGUUCCAAUCCAGCUUCAGCUCCAGAGACGGCAGGCGGGACGAGUCAACGGAGGCCGGGUGGACGAAGGCAUGCAGCUGAGUACAAUCCAGAAAACAACAGUGGAGGAG